GACAGAGGGUGCAAACGUUGUUCGGAAUUACUGGGCGUAAAGCGUGUGUAGGCGGUCUCUUAAGUCGGAUGUGAAAGCCCCGGGCUCAACCCGGGAAGUGCACUCGAAACUGGGAGGCUAGAGUACUGGAGAGGUUGGUGGAAUUCUCGGUGUAGAGGUGAAAUUCGUAGAUAUCGAGAGGAACACCGGUGGCGAAGGCGGCCAACUGGACAGAUACUGACGCUGAGACAUGAAAGCGUGGGGAGCAAACAGG
rnacentral:rRNA from 1 species